rnacentral:rRNA from 1 species
GGAAGGUGCAAGCGUUAAUCGGAAUUACUGGGCGUAAAGCGCGCGUAGGCGGCUAGAUAAGUCGGGUGUGAAAGCCCUGGGCUCAACCUGGGAACUGCAUUCGAUACUGUCUAGCUAGAGUGUGGUAGAGGGAGGCGGAAUUCCGCAUGUAGCGGUGAAAUGCGUAGAGAUGCGGAGGAACACCAAUGGCGAAGGCAGCCUUCUGGACCAACACUGACGCUGAGGCGCGAAAGCGUGGGGAGCAAACAGGAUUAGAUACCUGGUAGUCCACGCCCGUAAACGAUGUCAACUAGCCGUUGGGAGCAAUUUGGCUCUUGGUGGCGCAGCUAACGCGAUAAGUUGACCGCCUGGGGAGUACGGUCGCAAGAUUA